CGUUCUUGCAAUGGGCAAAGAGACUCCUUGGUGGUGGUGGUGUUUUUAUAUCAGUCAGGGGCAGAGAAGAUGGCAGUUCAUCCUAGCUUGAUACCUGGCUUGGUGGCCAAAGCUAUUUUAUGCCUAGGACACGUAA
ensembl:snoRNA LOC120093430 small nucleolar RNA SNORA48